rnacentral:lncRNA from 1 species
AAGAAGAGAAACAAAUCGGAGAUGGGUCUGAUUAAGGCCCAUGAGUGAAUAUAAGAACACGAUCCCAAGAAAACCAGAAUAGCAAUAAAUUCAUAGCAUUUUUGGAGGAGCUUGGAACCAGACAACUUGUAUCUCCCUUUGACGAAAGAAGUAUAGCCGGGACUCAUGAGGAACUAACCCAAAAGAAUAGUCAAUCAAAAUAAUUACACAAAACAAUAAUUUGUUUACUCAAUAUCAACAAAAUAAUAUCAUUAUUCGGACAACAACGGAUGUGCCAAAAUACGCAGAAAACAAAAAUUUUUUAGGGAGAAAAU